GCCAUUUCCAUUUUUCAGUUAUUAAUUUGAGUUGUACAACUGGUGUUUAUGUAGAGCAUUUACUGUAUAUCUACCUUCUGAUUCCCUUCCCAAAGCCCAGUUUGGAGAGAACAACAUUAUGAAAAACUGAGAUAAGGUGAUCAGGUUACACACUGCCUCUUUUCAAUGCAUAAGCAUGAGCUCGAGCAUUCACAUACAGUGGUAACAUUUUGACUAGUAUGAAGGCUCCAAAUCAAAUGGGUGCAGAGGGUUAUAGGCUCAACCAACUCCAUCAUGGGCACAACCCUCCCUACAUUUGAGAACGUCUUCAAGAGGUGGUAUUCAAGAAGGCAGCAUUCAUCACUAAGAACCCUCACCAUUUUGGAGAGGCCUGAAGAUCCACACUUACCAAUUCAGAAACAGCUUCUUCCUAUCUGUCAUCAGAUUUCUGAACACUACUGUUGGGACCUGAUCCUGGGAGCUCACAGAUGGCUGCUUUUCAAUAUCCCAAGGAUGCACCCCCGGGGUUCUGAGGUUUUGCGGCCCUGUGGAUGGGCUGAUUCUCAGCUAGUGCCGCCAGUUGAAGCAUCAUGGGAACAGAACAUCAGAAACAGCAGCAGAUCAGCUGUCAGAA